GUUUGACCUCGGAUCAGGUAGGGAUACCCGCUGAACUUAAGCAUAUCAAUAAGCGGAGGAAAAGAAACCAACAGGGAUUGCCUCAGUAACGGCGAGUGAAGCGGCAACAGCUCAAAUUUGAAAUCUGACCCCCUUGGGGCCCGAGUUGUAAUUUGUAGAGGGUGUUUCGGGCGCGGCGCCGGUCUAAGUUCCUUGGAACAGGACGUCACAGAGGGUGAGAAUCCCGUACGUGACCGGCGAUCAAGCCCAUGUGAAGCCCCUUCGACGAGUCGAGUUGUUUGGGAAUGCAGCUCAAAAUGGGUGGUAAAUUUCAUCUAAAGCUAAAUACCGGCCAGAGACCGAUAGCGGACAAGUAGAGUGAUCGAAAGAUGAAAAGCACUUUGGAAAGAGAGUUAAACAGUACGUGAAAUUGUUGAAAGGGAAGCGCUUGCGACCAGACCGGUCCGGGGGCGAUCAGCCGCUGCUCGUCAGCGGUGCACUCGCCCCCGAUCCGGCCAGCAUCGGUUUGGGCGGUGGGAAAAAAGUCCCGGGAAUGUGGCUCCCCUCGGGGAGUGUUAUAGCCCGGGUCGCAAUGCUGCCUGCCUGGACCGAGGACCGCGCUUCGGCUAGGAUGCUGGCGUAAUGGUUGCAAGCGACCCGUCUUGAAACACGGACCAAGGAGUCUAACAUCUAUGCGAGUGUUUGGGUGUCAAACCCAGGCGCGGAAUGAAAGUGAACGGAGGUGGGAACCCGUCAGACGGCGCACCAUCGACCGAUCCAGAUGUCUUCGGAUGGAUUUGAGUAUGAGCAUAGCUGUUGGGACCCGAAAGAUGGUGAACUAUGCCCGGAUAGGGUGAAGCCAGAGGAAACUCUGGUGGAGGCUCGCAGCGGUUCUGACGUGCAAAUCGAUCGUCAAAUCUAGGCAUAGGGGCGAAAGACCAAUCGAACC
rnacentral:rRNA from 1 species